AAUACACACUUUUAUCGGGUUAUGUUUUUUCCACACCGUUACUGUACUCUGACUGCGUUCAUCUGGCAUUAUAGUCAUACCUGCCGAUGCCUAAUGGACACCUGGUCCUGAGGAUUCUGCGACCUGAAUAUCGACCAUCGUAAAUGUGAAUAUUGUAAACAAUGAACGUUUGCAUCCGGAUCACCACUGGAUAAUCCGAGAUUCAUCGAGGACCGCAACGGUAUUUUAUGGGAAUUACAUUAGGUUUUAGUCCAUGAAGAUGUCCAAAAUCGAGCGUCUGAAUGCUCGAGUGGAAAAGCUGCUGUCUAAAGCAGUGCAGGAGGUUCUGGAGGUGGUGAAAGAGACUGUGUCAGAGUACCAGGAGAAAACAGCCAGAACACAGAGAGAGAACCAGAGUCUGAAGAGGAGGCUGCAGGAGCUCCAGGAUAAAAUAAACUUGGAGAGCAAUCGAAUAGUGGCUCAAGUUUCCACUGCAACCCAGCAGGCCAAGGUGGAGCAGAGAGAGAUAGAAGAGCUGGAAGAGGACACUGAACUCCUCCCUCCUGAUAAGGACAUUGCAGAUUCAUUUGAAGACCUUGACUGUGAAGCAUCCAUCACAUCAUUAGCCACCCCCUGUCUCUCCCCUAAAGCUACGAGCUGUCCAAGAACUCUUAAAACUGAAAGUGAUCAUGGACUGUCAGCAACAAUCACAAAUCAUGUAGAUCCCAUGAUUACAACUGAAAUCAGUGAAAAUAAUUCAGAUUUAUCCUUCACAUCGAAUAAAAUGAAAGUAGAGCCCACGUCGGAUGAAGAGACCUUGCACAAAAACAGAAAUUAUUUUUAUGAUGAUGCUGCGACAACAUCUAUAUCCUCAAACAGAAUACACCUAGAAACUCCUCAACCCAAAUCAGGACUCUACAAUGCAUCGGGUGCUGUCUUCAGUCUGGGCCAAAAUAGUGCACAGGAGCCACUAUCUCAAAGAUACAAUAAUACAAACAGUGUGGGUGCAGAAAAGCCAUAUACCGCUCAGACAAACACUAAAGCGGGCGGUUCAGGCUCAGGAGCUUUCCAGAGAAACGUCAGAAAGCACUACUGCUGCUCGCUGUGUGGUCGCACCUUCAGGCACGCGGGCGACUACAAGAAACACAACAGGGUGCACACAGGGGAGAAGCCGUACUGCUGCCCGGUGUGCGGGAAGCGCUUCAGUCAGUCGGGUUACCUGACUGUGCACCUGCGCUACCACACAGGAGAAAAGCCUUUUGGCUGCAGUCACUGUGGCAAGAGUUUCAGUCACUCGAGUAACAUGAAGAAACACCAGCAAACGCAUCUGUGAGGCUUCUGUGUUUUUACAGAGCUGCUGUACCACAUUGCUGCAGCUGUUUUCUUUACAUAUCACAUCUUUGAUACUGAAGAGGCAGCCUGUUUGUAAGCUAAGGAUAAUAAAAAAGUGCAAAGUGAUGGAUUCUCUGAGUGUCUUUUUGGAGGUCAGUUAAGCGAAUUGCAGUCCUGUUUAGAAAAUGAUGUAGCCUUGUGGAAAAGUUAUUACAUGAUUCAAUGUGCCUUCUUUUAUCAAAAUAGAAAGUCUAUUGGAGAGCGCUUGUCAAAUUCAAAGGUGGAAGCACAAUCUAACAAUUCCUGCUGUUCCUGCCUUACUGUUAUUUGUCAGAUGUUUGUUACUUACUGUGAGAAAGUGCUGGGAAUAUUAAAAAAUGUUCCUGCUCUUGUGUUCACCUUGUUGUAUAGUAUUAGUUAAACCAUUUAACAUGUUUAGAUUUACAUUUAAUUGUUAUCAUCGCUGGACCUUCUUUGAACAGAUAACUGCACAUAGCCUCGUCAGAUGAGGUGAAUAACGUUGCAGCACCUCAUUGCAUCAUUUCACAGAAGCAAUGACAAAGUGUCUUUACCAACGCUUUGAGCAUAUUUCCUAAUUCCUAAAGUUCCAACAACUACUUCCCUUUCCUUCCCAACCAGAUGUGACUUGUUUAAGCUUGAUGCAGCCUCUGAAGGACUGCCCACUUAAGCAGUUGUGCCACUUCCUACACCGUACAUUUAUUUUUUAGAUUUUCAUUUAGGCAAGCUAUAGGACACACUGCUACGAGACUUUGAUAUGACAGAUUUGAGAGAAUGUCUGGAGAGCAAGCUGUCACAAUGCAGAGUGUCAAGUGUGUGGUUGUCGGAGACAGUGGAGUGGGAAAGACCUACUUACUCACCACCUACAUCAAUAAGAUCUUCCCUAAGGAGUACAUACCAUGUUUCUACAACACGUACAAUACCCUGGUCAGUGUAGACAACCACACUGUCAGCCUUGACCUCAGUGACACCAGUGGCCGGGAGGAAUAUGAACGUCUACGCCUUCUCUGCUACAACCAAUGGGAACUAAGAGUGACCUGCGUCAUGAUCAGCAGGUCCUGAAAAAACUGAAGGAACAGAAUCAGACCACAGUCACCCAGCAGCAGGGGACAACAAUGGCAAAGCAAAUAAAGGCUGUCAAAUAUCUUGAGUGUGCUUCU